rnacentral:rRNA from 1 species
AUUGAACGCUGGCGGCAGGCCUAACACAUGCAAGUCGAGCGAGCGGCGGACGGGUGAGUAAUGUAUGGGGACUGCCCGAUAGAGGGGGAUAACUCCUGGAAACGGUAGCUAAUACCGCAUACUAUCGGAAAACCAAGAUGGGAUUAGCUAGUAGGUGAGGUUAUGGCUCACCUAGGCGACCAUACCUAGCUGGUCUGAGAGGCUGAUAAGCCACACGGGGACUGAGACACGGCCCAGACUCCGACGGAGGCAGCAGUGUGUAAUUUUGGACAAGGGGGGAAACCCUGAUCCAGCCAUCCCGCGUGUAGGAUGAAGGCCUUCGGGGUGUAAAGUACUUUUGGCAGAGAAGCGUUACCGACAGAAGAAGCACCGGCUAACUCCGUGCCAGCAGCCGCGGUAAUUC